rnacentral:lncRNA from 1 species
GUCGGCCUAUUUGUAGGUCUUUAUUUAUUGCUCUUAUUUUCAUACUGUACAUAUCUUCAAUUAUUAUUCUUUGUGCCUAUUAAGUUUUGCUGUGUGUAUGUUGGUAUAAACUUCAACUUGGAUGGAGUUUUGAGUUUCCUGCCUAAGCUUGAGAGCGAUGAGGGAUUAUAUCUAGCCCCCAAAAAGAGAGAGGCCUUGAGCAAGGAAAAAGAAAAAUGCACUGACAGGAGAUCUCCAAAGCUUUUGGAUGAGUUGUAAGAGCCAUCCUACAGUCUAAAGUUCGAGGGACGGCUGCAGUUGUGACGAGGAUAGAUUUGAGAAUGAAGUUUCUCCACUUCUAGCUCAUAGAUUUCCUUCAACUCGAGGUGAGAGGGAAUUUGAUAUGGUCAAUGCUUUCAUUAUGUCUGAUCAUGCUAGAGCUUUGGCUAGGCAUAGAGUGGAUAUGGUAGUCUACAAAAGAAUGGUACUUUUUUUGCUCUGCAAUUCAUUUUUGCUUAUAUUCACAUUUCUGAGUUUACUUGGCAAUUGUAU